UAUUGUGGACCUAAAUUGUAAUGCAGGCUGGAUCAAAAUUUGCAAGGGGCUGGAUUUGGCCCACGGGCCUUGAGUUUGACACGUGUGGUUUAGAGAGAGAAA